rnacentral:rRNA from 1 species
CAGCAGCCGCGGUAAUACGGAGGGUGCAAGCGUUAAUCGGAAUUACUGGGCGUAAAGCGCACGCAGGCGGUCUGACAAGUCAGAUGUGAAAUCCCCGGGCUUAACCUGGGAACUGCAUUUGAAACUGUCAGGCUGGAGUCUUGUAGAGGGGGGUGGAAUUCCAGGUGUAGCGGUGAAAUGCGUAGAGAUCUGGAGGAAUACCGGUGGCGAAGGCGGCCCCCUGGACAAAGACUGACGCUCAGGUGCGAAAGCGUGGGGAGCAAACAGGAUUAGAGACCCGUGUAGUCCCUGUCUCUUAUAC